AUGCACAUUUUCAAUAGAGUUGCAAUCUAUACUUCUCUGGACUACGAGACAGGGCGCACGAACUACAAUGUUCCUCUUUUUAAUCCACAAUACAAACACACACAAAUUACAGUGAUGAGGGACUUCAAAAAUAAAUCCACAUUUCUGUCUAUGAAAUGCAAGCCGGUGCCAGCGCACUGCAUGUCCAGUCCCCACAGCAUUGCACCUGUGCGCCCAUGGGAUGGCAGCCAAAAUCUGAAAAGUGGAAAAAAUGUCAACCGUGAGCAAAAUACACACAAAAAUCACCGAUCUUCCUGCACCCCAUCUUCAAAAUACACACAAAAAUGA
rnacentral:rRNA from 1 species